rnacentral:tRNA from 1 species
CAGGAAGUAGUUUAUUAUAAAAUAUUAGUUUUGGGAAUUAAUGAAAAAUUUUUAAUUUUUUCCUGA